UACGAAGGGGGCUAGCGUUGCUCGGAAUUACUGGGCGUAAAGCGCACGUAGGCGGCUUUCUAAGUCGGGGGUGAAAUCCUGGAGCUCAACUCCAGAACUGCCUUCGAUACUGGAAAGCUCGAGUCCGGGAGAGGUGAGUGGAACUGCGAGUGUAGAGGUGAAAUUCGUAGAUAUUCGGAAGAACACCAGUGGCGAAGGCGACUUACUGGACACAUACUGACGCUGAGGUGCGAAAGCGUGGGGAGCAAACAGG
rnacentral:rRNA from 1 species